rnacentral:rRNA from 1 species
GACGAACGCUGGCGGCGUGCUUAACACAUGCAAGUCGAACGGUGAAGCGCCUUCCUUUUUGGUGGGUGUGGAUGAGUGGCGAACGGGUGAGUAACACGUGAGUAACCUGCCCUCUUCUUCUGGAUAACCGCAUGAAAGCUUGGCCAAUACGGGAUAUUCUGGGUCUGUCGCAUGAUGGGUCUGGGAAAGAUAUUGUUUCGGUGGGGGAUGGGCUCGCGGCCUGUCAGCUUGUUGGUGGGGUGAUGGCCUAGCAAGGCGGGGACGGGUAGCCGGGCUGGGAGGGUGGCCGGUCACACUGGGACUGAGGCACGGCCCGGACUCCGACGGGGGGCAGCAGUGGGGAAUAUUGCACAGUGGGCACAAGCCUGAUGCGGCGGCGCCGCGUGAGGGAUGGAGGCCUGCGGGUUGUGAACGUCUUUCGCCAGUGAAGCAGGCCUGCCUCGUAUGUGGGUGGGUUGACGGUAGCUGGAUAAGAAGCGCCGGCUAACUACGUG